rnacentral:rRNA from 1 species
GGUUAAGCGACUAAGCGUACACGGUGGAUGCCUUGGCAGUCAGAGGCGAUGAAGGACGUGCUAAUCUGCGAUAAGCGUCGGUAAGGUGAUAUGAACCGUUAUAACCGGCGAUUUCCGAAUGGGGAAACCCAGUGUGAUUCGUCACACUAUCAUUAACUGAAUCCAUAGGUUAAUGAGGCGAACCGGGGGAACUGAAACAUCUAAGUACCCCGAGGAAAAGAAAUCAACCGAGAUUCCCCCAGUAGCGGCGAGCGAACGGGGAGCAGCCCAGAGCCUGAAUCAGUGUGUGUGUUAGUGGAAGCGUCUGGAAAGGCGUGCGAUACAGGGUGACAGCCCCGUACACAAAAAUGCACAUACUGUGAGCUCGAUGAGUAGGGCGGGACACGUGGUAUCCUGUCUGAAUAUGGGGGGACCAUCCUCCAAGGCUAAAUACUCCUGACUGACCGAUAGUGAACCAGUACCGUGAGGGAAAGGCGAAAAGAACCCCGGCGAGGGGAGUGAAAAAGAACCUGAAACCGUGUACGUACAAGCAGUGGGAGCACGCUUAGGCGUGUGACUGCGUACCUUUUGUAUAAUGGGUCAGCGACUUAUAUUCUGUAGCAAGGUUAACCGAAUAGGGGAGCCGAAGGGAAACCGAGUCUUAACUGGGCGUUAAGUUGCAGGGUAUAGACCCGAAACCCGGUGAUCUAGCCAUGGGCAGGUUGAAGGUUGGGUAACACUAACUGGAGGACCGAACCGACUAAUGUUGAAAAAUUAGCGGAUGACUUGUGGCUGGGGGUGAAAGGCCAAUCAAACCGGGAGAUAGCUGGUUCUCCCCGAAAGCUAUUUAGGUAGCGCCUCGUGAAUUCAUCUCCGGGGGUAGAGCACUGUUUCGGCAAGGGGGUCAUCCCGACUUACCAACCCGAUGCAAACUGCGAAUACCGGAGAAUGUUAUUACGGGAGACACACGGCGGGUGCUAACGUCCGUCGUGAAGAGGGAAACAACCCAGACCGCCAGCUAAGGUCCCAAAGUCAUGGUUAAGUGGGAAACGAUGUGGGAAGGCCCAGACAGCCAGGAUGUUGGCUUAGAAGCAGCCAUCAUUUAAAGAAAGCGUAAUAGCUCACUGGUCGAGUCGGCCUGCGCGGAAGAUGUAACGGGGCUAAACCAUGCACCGAAGCUGCGGCAGCGACGCUUAUGCGUUGUUGGGUAGGGGAGCGUUCUGUAAGCCUGUGAAGGUGUGCUGUGAGGUAUGCUGGAGGUAUCAGAAGUGCGAAUGCUGACAUAAGUAACGAUAAAGCGGGUGAAAAGCCCGCUCGCCGGAAGACCAAGGGUUCCUGUCCAACGUUAAUCGGGGCAGGGUGAGUCGACCCCUAAGGCGAGGCCGAAAGGCGUAGUCGAUGGGAAACAGGUUAAUAUUCCUGUACUUGGUGUUACUGCGAAGGGGGGACGGAGAAGGCUAUGUUGGCCGGGCGACGGUUGUCCCGGUUUAAGCGUGUAGGCUGGUUUUCCAGGCAAAUCCGGAAAAUCAAGGCCGAGGCGUGAUGACGAGGCACUACGGUGCUGAAGCAACAAAUGCCCUGCUUCCAGGAAAAGCCUCUAAGCAUCAGGUAACAUCAAAUCGUACCCCAAACCGACACAGGUGGUCAGGUAGAGAAUACCAAGGCGCUUGAGAGAACUCGGGUGAAGGAACUAGGCAAAAUGGUGCCGUAACUUCGGGAGAAGGCACGCUGAUACGUAGGUGAAGCGACUUGCUCGUGGAGCUGAAAUCAGUCGAAGAUACCAGCUGGCUGCAACUGUUUAUUAAAAACACAGCACUGUGCAAACACGAAAGUGGACGUAUACGGUGUGACGCCUGCCCGGUGCCGGAAGGUUAAUUGAUGGGGUUAGCGCAAGCGAAGCUCUUGAUCGAAGCCCCGGUAAACGGCGGCCGUAACUAUAACGGUCCUAAGGUAGCGAAAUUCCUUGUCGGGUAAGUUCCGACCUGCACGAAUGGCGUAAUGAUGGCCAGGCUGUCUCCACCCGAGACUCAGUGAAAUUGAACUCGCUGUGAAGAUGCAGUGUACCCGCGGCAAGACGGAAAGACCCCGUGAACCUUUACUAUAGCUUGACACUGAACAUUGAGCCUUGAUGUGUAGGAUAGGUGGGAGGCUUUGAAGUGUGGACGCCAGUCUGCAUGGAGCCGACCUUGAAAUACCACCCUUUAAUGUUUGAUGUUCUAACGUGGACCCGUGAUCCGGGUUGCGGACAGUGUCUGGUGGGUAGUUUGACUGGGGCGGUCUCCUCCUAAAGAGUAACGGAGGAGCACGAAGGUUGGCUAAUCCUGGUCGGACAUCAGGAGGUUAGUGCAAUGGCAUAAGCCAGCUUGACUGCGAGCGUGACGGCGCGAGCAGGUGCGAAAGCAGGUCAUAGUGAUCCGGUGGUUCUGAAUGGAAGGGCCAUCGCUCAACGGAUAAAAGGUACUCCGGGGAUAACAGGCUGAUACCGCCCAAGAGUUCAUAUCGACGGCGGUGUUUGGCACCUCGAUGUCGGCUCAUCACAUCCUGGGGCUGAAGUAGGUCCCAAGGGUAUGGCUGUUCGCCAUUUAAAGUGGUACGCGAGCUGGGUUUAGAACGUCGUGAGACAGUUCGGUCCCUAUCUGCCGUGGGCGCUGGAGAACUGAGGGGGGCUGCUCCUAGUACGAGAGGACCGGAGUGGACGCAUCACUGGUGUUCGGGUUGUCAUGCCAAUGGCACUGCCCGGUAGCUAAAUGCGGAAGAGAUAAGUGCUGAAAGCAUCUAAGCACGAAACUUGCCCCGAGAUGAGUUCUCCCUGACCCUUUAAGGGUCCUGAAGGAACGUUGAAGACGACGACGUUGAUAGGCCGGGUGUGUAAGCGCAGCGAUGCGUUGAGCUAACCGGUACUAAUGAACCGUGAGGCUUAACCUU